rnacentral:rRNA from 1 species
ACCAGGUCUUGACAUACUCGUGCUAUUCCUAGAGAUAGGAAGUUCCUUCGGACACGGGAUACAGGUGGUGCAUGGUUGUCGUCAGCUCGUGUCGUGAGAUGUUGGGUUAAGUCCCGCAACGAGCGCAACCCUUAUUGUUAGUUGCCAUCAUUAAGUUGGGCACUCUAGCGAGACUGCCGGUAAUAAACCGGAGGAAGGUGGGGAUGACGUCAAAUCAUCAUGCCCCUUAUGACCUGGGCUACACACGUGCUACAAUGGUUGGUACAACGAGUCGCAAGACAGUGAUGUCAAGCUAAUCUCUUAAAGCCAAUCUCAGUUCGGAUUGUAGGCUGCAACUCGCCUACAUGAAGUCGGAAUCGCUAGUAAUCGCGGAUCAGCACGCCGCGGUGAAUACGUUCCCGGGCCUUGUACACACCGCCCGUCACACCACGAGAGUUUGUAAUACCCAAAGCCGGUGAGCUAACCUUUUAGGAGGCAGCCGUCUAAGGUAGGAUAGAUGAUUGGGGUGAAGUC